rnacentral:rRNA from 1 species
AGAGUUUGAUCAUGGCUCAGAUUGAACGCUGGCGGCAUGCUUAAUACAUGCAAGUCGAACGGUAACAGAUUCUUCGGAAUGCUGACGAGUGGCGGACGGGUGAGUAAUACAUAGGAAUCUGCCCAUGUAGUGGGGGACAACUUGGGGAAACUCAAGCUAAUACCGCAUAAUUCCUACGGGAUAAAGAGGGCCACUGCUUGCAAGCUCUUGCUACUGGAUGAGCCUAUGUCGGAUUAGUUAGUUGGUAAGGUAAUGGCUUACCAAGACAGCGAUCCGUAGCUGGUUUGAGAGGAUGAUCAGCCACACUGGGACUGAGACACGGCCCAGACUCCUACGGGAGGCAGCAGUAGGGAGUAUUGGACAAUGGGCGCAAGCCUGAUCCAGCAAUGCCGCGUGUGUGAAGAAGGCCUGCGGGUUGUAAAGCACUUUCAAUUGGGAAGAAAGAUUAUGAGUUAAUACCUUAUAAU